rnacentral:misc_RNA from 1 species
UUUCCGUAGGUGAACCUGCGGAAGGAUCAUUAACGAGUUAGGGUAUUCCAGGCCCUUUCUCUAAACUUUUAGUUUAUUGUACCUCUGUUGCUCCCGCGGACCCGCCUCACGGCCGCCGGAGGACCGUUGCUUGGCAUCCUCCGGUCAGACUCAGCGGAUGGACAAAAACUUUAAAUCUGACUAAAACGUAUCAUAUGUCUACGUCAACGAUUAAAUUAAAAAAAAACUUGAAACAAAGAAUCUCUUGGUUCAGACAUCGAUGAAAAACGCAGCAGCUCG